rnacentral:rRNA from 1 species
CCUACGGGAGGCUGCAGUGGGGAAUAUUGCACAAUGGCGGAAACCCUGAUGCAGCGACGCCGCGUGAGCGAUGAAGUUCUUCGGUAUGUAAAGCUCUAUCAGCAGGGAAGAAAAUGACGGUACCUGACUAAGAAUCCCCGGCUAACUACGUGCCACCAGCCGCGGUAAUACGGAGGUGGCAAGCGUUGUCCGGAUUUACUGGGUGUAAAGGGCGUGUAGCCGGGUUGACAAGUCAGAUGGGAAAUCCUGCGGGUUAACCGCAGAACUGCAUUUGAAACUGGUGAUCUUGAGUACUGGAGAGGCAGACGGAAUGCCUAGUGUAGCGGUGAAAUGCGUAGAUAUUAGGAGGAACACCAGUGGCGAAGGCGGUCUGCUGGACAGCAACUGACGGUGAGGCGCGAAAGCGUGGGGAGCAAACAGGAUUAGAUACCCCUGUAGUC